AAUCAGGCAAGAGACUUGCAUGCUGGGAGAUAAAUUGUCUGCUGUAACUGCCCCAAGUGUUCCUGUCCAUCAGACAACCGCUCUUGCAAGAACGUUGAUUAAACCUAUCUUCACUGUGCUUGGAGUCUCUGCGUCCCUCCUUUGAUUGGUGAUCAACAUUCCCCUCCCAAUGAGCAAAGCAAGGGCCUGCUCAUCACCUUUGGAACACACUGCCUUUGUUCGAUCAUGGCUGUGACUGAGUUCCUGAGAACUUACAUCUCAUAUGAAACAAUGAAGAUAACUCAGAAGACCCCAUUCUGGAAGAAUGUGAUUCCAUGCUCUUGUCCUCUGCCUAGAGCUGGUGUAGAAGGGACAUUGACUUUCAGAGAUUUGGGUUUGAAUUCUAGCCUUGCCACUUUCUAGCCUUAGUUUCCUCACCUGUAAAAUGGAACUAAUAACCUACCUCAAUGGACUUUUUAUAAGGAUAUAAUUAGUUACCACAUGCAAAGUGCCUGGUGUGCAAUAAACACUCAUAAGUAAUGUCGUCAUGAUUUAUACAAAUCACCAGGCUAGGAAAAUCUGUUCUGGUUCUCUUGCUGUCACUUUCUCCCAGAUGUCUGCCAUUUUGAAAUUCGCCCUGUAAUUAAAUAUUUUCAGUCAAAUCA